rnacentral:rRNA from 1 species
GGGGAAUCUUCCGCAAUGGACGAAAGUCUGACGGAGCAACGCCGCGUGAACGAUGACGGCCUUCGGGUUGUAAAGUUCUGUUAUACGGGACGAAUGGCGUAGCGGUCAAUACCCGUUACGAGUGACGGUACCGUAAGAGAAAGCCACGGCUAACUACGUGCCAGCAGCCGCGGUAAUACGUAGGUGGCAAGCGUUGUCCGGAAUUAUUGGGCGUAAAGGGUGCGCAGGCGGUCUCUUAAGUCUGUCUUAAAAGUGCGGGGCUCAACCCCGUGAGGGGACGGAAACUGGGAGACUGGAGUAUCGGAGAGGAAAGCAGAAUUCCUAGUGUAGCGGUGAAAUGCGUAGAUAUUAGGAGGAAUACCAGUGGCGAAAGCGGCUUUCUGGACGACAACUGACGCUGAGGCACGAAAGCCAGGGGAGCGAACG